CGCCGCGCUCCCAAGAUCCAACUACGAGCUUUUUAACGUUCAGCAACUUUUAAAUACGCUAAUGGAGCUGGAAUUACCGCUGGCGGCUGCUGGCACCAGACUUGCCCCCAAAUGGAUCUCGCGAAAGGAAUUUAAAAGUGGGACUCAUUCCAAAAUUACAGGGCCUCGAAAGAGUCCUGUAUUGUUAUUUUUCGUCACUACGCUCCCCGGGUCGGGAGUGGGUAAUUUGCGCGCCUGCUGCCUUCCUUGGAUGUGGUAGCCGUUUCUCAGGCUCCCUCUCCGGAAUCGAACCCUGAUUCCCGUCACCCGUGUCCAUGGUGGCACGGCGACUACCAUCGAAAGUUGAUAGGGGACGUUCGAAUGGUCGUCGCCGCCACGGGGGGCGUGCGAUCGGCCCGAGGUUAUCUAGAGUCACCAGAGCGCCGGCGCCCGCACCCCCCGGCCGGGGCCGGGGAGGGAGCUCACCGGGUUGGUUUUGAUCUGAUAAAUGCACGCAUUCCCCCCGCGAAGGGGGUCAGCGCCCGUCGGCAUGUAUUAGCUCUAGAAUUACCACAGUUAUCCAAGUAGGAGAGGAGCGAGCGACCAAGGAACCAUAACUGAUUUAAUGAGCCAUUCGCAGUUUCACUGUACCGGCCGUGCGUACUUAGACAUGCAUGGCUUAAUCUUUGAGACAAGCAUAUGCUACUGGCAGGAUCAACCAGGUAGGGGAGCGCGAGCGAGCGAGGGGAGCCGGGGACCGGGAAGCCGAGCGCCCGGGACAGACGGACGGGGGCCGGGGCCCGACGGCGAGGUCUGGUCUCGCCCCGCGGAGAGGCGCGGGCGGGCGGGCGGGCGGGGGAGGCGGCGGAGGCGGAGGCGGACGGGCGCGCGCCGGUCGGCGACCCGACCGCGACACCCGCCGUCCGUCCGUCGGUCCGUCCGUCCGUCUACCGCCGCCGGGCGGACGGGCUCGCUCCGCCGGGACGCACCCCGGGACCGGGGCCGCGGGGCGAGGCGCGCGCGAGGGCGGCGCGGAGCGGCGGGGCGGAAGGGGCGCGGCGACCGCCGACCGCGGCCCGACGGGUGAGGGGGGCGCGGGCCGCACCCCGCGUACCGCGGCGGCGGCGGCGGCGGGCGGGGAAGGACGCGGGCCGCGGGGACCGGCCGGCGCCGAUCGCGCCGCAGGGCGCUCGCCGCCGGUCGACGGGGACGACUCGCCACGCGCGGCGGGGAGGGCGGGGCGGGGGUCGGGGGAGGAGCGGGGCCGAAACCCCGCCCUCCUCCCGGGCGCCCCCCUCCGAACGACCCGCACGCGCGAGGCGGGCACGACGCCACGCCGGCCGGCGACGACGACUCCCGCGACGGACGGGCCGGAGGACCCGGGUCCGCGCCGACCCCGCCCCCGCACGCGCGCGCGCGGGACGGGGAGGGCCUCGCCACACUCGACUCACCGACGGGCCGGGGGCGGGACGGGGCGCCCCGACUUCCCGCGGGCACCUAACGCCGCCGCCGGCGGGGCGGCGGGGCGGAGGACCCGGGGCCGCCGCCGCGGUCCCCACCACGGCGGGCGACACGCGACGAGCGGGAAAGCGAGCCCCCGGGAUCGGAGAAGCCGGGCGGAGGGAGAAAACUCGAGACGGGCGGCACGCGAACGUGGCGGACGGCCAACCCCGGCGCGGGGAGGCGGCGUCACAAGGGCCGCGGGGACGCGGCACCGGUCACCCGCGAGGUCGCCGGGGAAACGACCGCCUCGGGGAGCCCGGCCUUCCGCCGGUCCGGGACCCACGCACGGGAAUCUCACCGCCAGCGCCCCCGCGGCGCAUCGGCGGUCCCGCGCGCGAGCCCCCACCCGGGACGGACCGACCCGGACCCGCCGUCGGCGACGGACCCACGGCGACGCCUCGUCGAGGCCGAGCCCGCGUCCUCGCCGAGCCGGUCGCGGCUCCACCCCCGCACACGCCACCGACCGUCUCACGGCGACCGGUCGCCGGGCGCACGGCGAGGAUCGGCGACGGCGAGGGCGGACGGGAGCCCACCCCGGACGGGGAAGCGGACGGGGAGAGACCCGCGGAGCGCACGGCCCGGGGCCGCCGGGGAAACCAGGCGGGAUCCCACCGCCCCCCCACGGGGGCGGUCCCGCCAUCGCCCGCGACGCCCGGAAGCCGGAGCCGGCGGAGUCCGAAGAGCACCCCCCACGGGAGGAGUCACCUCCUCCCGCGAGGAGAGAACACCCGCGUCCACCAGCCCCGUCGACGGGGACUCCCACGCGCGACUCCGCCGACGUCCGCACGCCGGGGAGGACGACCGCCUCGGCGGCCUCGCUCGAGAGAACCCACACGCGUACGGCCCCCUUCCUCCGGGGGACGGGCACCCACCGUCGCGGCGGCGGCGGCGGCAGCAGCGGCGGCGGCGACGGCGACGGGAGGGUGAGGGGAGGGGCGGGACCGACCGGGACGUCCGCCACACCACCGACCCCCAACACACCCCCCCACCGGACACACCACGCGCCAGCGGAGCGAGACCUCGGCGCACGCUCGCGGGCAGGCCCCGAGAGAGCCGGACACCGGCCGGGACCCCCCGCGGGACCCUCCCCCAGCUCGGAGGGGGGAGGCGCGGGCACGCAUCGGAUCGGGACAGACGCGUCGGACGGCUGACUUUCGCGCAGCGAGAACGUAGGCGGGCGGGCAGACGCGGGGGGGAGGCGGGCACCUCCCCACCUCUUCGCAAAGCACGCCCCGCUCGGAUCGCUAGAGAAGAAACUUUGCUCACUGAGGGUGGACCGAACCCGGCCCACCGGCCCCCGUCGGUCCGCAGAGGCGGGAUCCGUCCGCGGGAGUGGCCAGGCGAGGGGGGUCUGCGGUAUAGGUAAGCACGGGGCACACGUCGAGCACUCGCGGUCAGAGGCCGGGGCGACCUCACGUUUUCCGCUCAGUCCGCCGGGUGGCACGGCAGAACGGCCCACGGCCCGCCACGAUCGCUCGACACGCCCGCGCGCGGCCAACCGGGAGAGGCGGCGCGCGGGCGUGCGCCCGCCCCAAGGACCGAGUCGCACCCGCGACACGGCCGUCAAGAAGCGGCAGGCGGCCUUCGCCGCCGCCGCCCUCUCUCUCACCGCCUCGACCCCCUUUUCUCUGGCCGAUGGCCUCGAGAAGCCCGCCAACGCGGACGGGGCAGCCCCGCCACAGCGGCGACCGGAGCAGAGACACCGGGGGACACGGGAACGGCACCACCGCUCAGCCUCGGGCACCUCGAGUCGACCCGGAGCGCUCCAGGAGCACCGCGAAGGGCCGACGACGCACGGAACGCGGCUCGCGCGCCCGAGGAGGACGCGCGGCACGGCGGGGAAACGCGGGCCCCUGCCCCACCGCGGGGAGGGGCCGACCCACCGCCAAGGCACCAGGGCGCGGGAGGGGUGAUCCCCUCUCCCGCACGUCUGGGUCCCCGACCACGAGGAGAGGGCGGGGAAGGCGAAGGUCAGGCCGGAUACCGCACCCCUGCCUUCCGCACACCACCGGCAGGUGGGGCGGAGAAGCGAGGGGCCCGCUGGCAGCACGAGAAGAGCGGUCCCAUUCGCAGUGAAUGUCCGUCCCUCGCCUGGCGCGGCUUAGGCCCGGCCCGGGAGAGCACCACGUCACCACAUCGAUCGCGAGAAGG
rnacentral:lncRNA from 1 species